UCCGUUCUGGGAACAGUGGUUGGUUGGUCGGUAUAACACACAACUUACUGAAACGUGGUGUGUUUUACAAAUACAUUUGUAUUCGUAAAUAUGUAAUUUUUUCAUUUGUAAAAAAAAAUGCAAUUUGAAACCUGAAAAUUCUGUUUGUUAAGUGGAUUCAGCAUUUUUAAUGAAUGUGUGGCACUUGGUAUUCAUACUGCCAUGAACACUGCC